GUGGCGGCGUAACACAAAGAUAAUGAAAUCAUUCUUGAGGUUUGAUUAAUAACUGUAUUUUCUUUUUGGGGAAUUUUUUUCUUGACUAAAUGUAAGAAACAAGGAAAAAAAAAGAAAAGUAGAACCUAUUAAUGUUAUCUCUUAAUAAUAAAACAUUCAAACAAACAACAAACACUUCACCUUUUUUCAACAUUAAAGGGGACUUGAAAACAUCUUAAAAUAUCAACCAUACAAAAAAGUCGCUGAACUUACGAUAAUACAACUCCAACUAUAUAUAUAGUGGCCUCAUAAUUUUAACUAGUCACCGCACUCGAUGAGGUGUUGUCCUAGAUAGCCAAUCGAGCUACAUGUUUUAUGGGCAUCGAUAUAAGUACUUAGCACAUAAAGCUAACAUACAGCAACAAUGCUUUAUUCUAGUUUAAACACCUAAAUUACAUAGCUAUGCUUUUGGCUAAUGGGGCGGAUUUCCAAUGCCGGGGCUCGGGCCCGGUGUUGUAGGUCUGAAAUAAUUAGUUGCUGCAAGAUUGUGGGCUAAUGGUUCAGAGUGGAGAAUAAAGUUUGUGGCUAUAUGAUCUUUCCCCAUUUCAUUCCCAUUGUUGCCAACGUUCUCUAUCUUAAUGAAUUGCCUUCCUUCAGAACACAUGAUUCCAUGAUGAAUCAAAACUAGUAUAAGAAGGAAAGCACAAUUGAUGCAAGGAAACUUGAUUUUGGCCAUGAUCAUUGGGUUAGGCUAGCUAGGGGGAAGUGGUGAUAGGUAGAAUAGCCCCUUAACUCUUACUGCUUUAGG